rnacentral:lncRNA from 1 species
UCCUGAUCUCGACCCAGCACAACCCCGAUGUGACCAACGAGAAGAUUCGUGAGGACCUGAUGGAGCACGUGAUCAAGCCCGUGGUGCCGGCCAAGUACCUGGACGACAAGACCAUCUUCCACCUGAACCCCUCGGGCCGUUUCGUGAUUGGUGGCCCCCACGGCGACGCCGGUCUGACUGGCCGCAAGAUCAUCAUCGACACCUACGGCGGCUGGGGUGCCCACGGUGGUGGCGCCUUCUCGGGCAAGGACCCGACCAAGGUCGACCGCUCGGGCGCCUACAUCGCCCGCCAGGCCGCUAAGUCCGUCGUUGCGUCGGGCCUGGCCAAGCGGUGAGUGGGUAGCAGCUGGCAACUGUUUGGAAUGGUCAUGGAACCGAAGGGCUAUGGCAAGCGGGCCAGGAUUGGUAUUGUCAUCGUCUGAUGUGCCAUACGAGUUUGGCCUAACCUCGUGUCCGCACCAUGGCUCUGUCUCCUCCGCGUAACCUCUUGUCCUCGCCAUGGUUCCGUCUCCUCCGCCCCUGCAGCUGCCUGGUCCAGGUGUCGUACUCGAUCGCUGUGGCUGAGCCCCUGUCGGUGUUCGUUGACACCUACGGCACCGGCACCAUGCCCGAUGCCGAGAUCCUGAAGCUGAUCCGGAAGCACUUCGACUUCCGCCCCGGUGAGAACUGCUGUUGUGAGGGCUUACCCAGACUCAUGCGGUUCUGCUGUGGAUUCAAGGCUUUGAUGCUGACUCGCAGUGAUGGGAAUCUGUGGGACACCUGCAUGCAGUCCAAAGCGCAGAUCGCAUUGUGCAGUUUGCCUUGAUGCGCUCCGGUUUCCACCCAUCGAUUUUCCCAUGCACAGGCCUCAUCGGCAAGAACCUGGACCUGAAGCGCGGUGGCAACAAGCGGUACCAGAAGACGGCCGCUUACGGCCACUUCGGCCGCGACGAUCCCGACUUCACCUGGGAGACCGUGAAGAAGCUGGAGUAAGCGCGCUGCGUGCGUGCGCUCUGUCUGAUGAAGGAGCAUGGGCGUAGUGC